rnacentral:rRNA from 1 species
AGUGGCGGACGGGUGAGUAACACGUAAGAACCUACCCUUCGGACUGGGAUAACAUCCUGAAAGGGAUGCUAAUACCGGAUAUUAUCUAUGGAUGAAAGAGGGCUUCGGCUUUCACCGAGGGAUGGGCUUGCGGCCCAUUAGCUUGUUGGUAAGGUAAUGGCUUACCAAGGCGACGAUGGGUAGCCGGCCUGAGAGGGUGUACGGCCACACUGGAACUGAGACACGGUCCAGACUCCUACGGGAGGCAGCAGUGGGGAAUAUUGGUCAAUGGGCGAAAGCCUGAACCAGCAAUGCCGUGUGGGCGAUGAAGCUUUUAGGAGUGUAAAGCCCUUUUCUAGGGGAAGAACCGCUUUGGGACGAAUAAUCCCAUAGCCUGACGGUACCUUAGGAAUAAGCCCCGGCUAACUCCGUGCCAGCAGCCGCGGUAAUACGGAGGGGGCGAGCGUUGUUCGGAAUCACUGGGCGUAAAGGGCGCGUAGGCGGCCUUGCAGGUCAGAUGUGAAAGCCCCGGGCUUAACCCGGGAAUUGCGUUUGAAACCUCAGGGCUUGAGGCCGGGAGAGGGAAGUGGAAUUCCUGGUGUAGCGGUGAAAUGCGUAGAGAUCCGGAGGAACAUCAGUGGCGAAGGCGGUAGGCUGGGCCUGAUCUGACGCUCAGACGCGAAAGCAUGGGGAGCGAACGGGAUUAGAAACCCCGGUAGUCCAUGCCGUAAACGAUGCAAACUAAGUGUCAGCGACCAAUGGUUGUUGGUGCUGGAGCAAACGCGAUAAGUUUGCCGCCUGGGGAGUACGGCCGCAAGGCUAAAACUCAAAGGAAUUGACGGGGGCCCGCACAAGCAGCGGAGCGUGUGGUUUAAUUCGAGGCUACACGAAGAACCUUACCUGGGCUUGACAUCUAGGUGGUAGUGAACCGAAAGGGGAGCGACCUUCGGGAGCCUAGACAGGUGCUGCAUGGCUGUCGUCAGCUCGUGCCGUGAGGUGUUCGGUUAAGUCCGAAAACGAGCGCAACCCCUAGUGCCAGUUACGAGUGUCUGGCGCGACUGCCCGGGGGAACCGGGAGGAAGGUGGGGAUGACGUCAAGUCAGCAUGGCCUUGAUGUCCAGGGCUACACACACGCUACAAUGGCCGGUACAACAGGCAGCCAAGCCGCGAGGCGGAGCGAACCCAGGAAAGCCGGUCACAGUUCGGAUUGCAGGCUGCAACUCGCCUGCAUGAAGUGGGAGUUGCUAGUAAACGUGGGUCAGCUAUACCGCGUUGAAUACGUUCCCGGGCCUUGUACACACCGCCCGUCACGUCAUGGAAGCUGGUCAUGCCUGAAGUCGGUGGGCUAGCCGGAAGGAGG